rnacentral:rRNA from 1 species
UACGUAGGGUGCAAGCGUUGUCCGGAAUUAUUGGGCGUAAAGAGCUCGUAGGCGGUUUGUCGCGUCGAAUGUGAAAACCCGGGGCUCAACCCCGGGCCUGCAUUCGAUACGGGCAGACUAGAGUUCGGUAGGGGAGUCUGGAAUUCCUGGUGUAGCGGUGAAAUGCGCAGAUAUCAGGAAGAACACCCGUGGCGAAGGCGGCUCUCUGGGCCGAUAUUGACGCUGAGGAGCGAAAGCGUGGGGAGCGAACAGG